rnacentral:rRNA from 1 species
AGUGAACGCUGGCGGCAGGCUUAACACAUGCAAGUCGAGCGGGGUGAUGGUGCUUGCACUAUCACUUAGCGGCGGACGGGUGAGUAAUGCUUAGGAAUCUGCCUAUUAGUGGGGGACAACAUCUCGAAAGGGAUGCUAAUACCGCAUACGUCCUACGGGAGAAAGCAGGGGAUCACUUGUGACCUUGCGCUAAUAGAUGAGCCUAAGUCGGAUUAGCUAGUUGGUGGGGUAAAGGCCUACCAAGGCGACGAUCUGUAGCGGGUCUGAGAGGAUGAUCCGCCACACUGGGACGGGAACACGGCCCAGACUACGACGUGGGGCAGCAGUGGGGAAUAUUGGACAAUGGGGGGAACCCUGAUCCAGCCAUGCCGCGUGUGUGAAGAAGGCCUUAUGGUUGUAAAGCACUUUAAGCGAGGAGGAGGCUCUUUUGGUUAAUACCCAAGAUGAGUGGACGUUACUCGCAGAAUAAGCACCGGCUAACUCUGUGCCAGCCGCCGCCGUAA